AGGUGUUGCUUUAUCUGUUUUUUGAAACCAGGUUUGCUGUUUAUUUGAGCAAUAUGAGAUGGAACGGAGUUACAUGGAAUAAGGGCUCUAUAUAAUACUGUAUGCUUUCUUGAAUUUGUUCUGGUUUUGGGGACUAUGAAAAGACCCCUGGUGGCAUAAGUGUGUGUGUGUCAGAGCUGUGUGUAAGUUGACUAUGCAAACAAUUUGGGAUUUUCAACACAAUGUUAUUAAAAUAAGUGAAGCAGUCAGUCUCUCCUCAACUCUGAACCAAGAGAGACUGGCAGCAUAGUAUUUAUAUCAGUCCUCUGAUUAUCAUGAAGAACAAGAUGUGCCGCUCUGUUCUGGACCAGCAGCAGCUUAACGAGGUCUUUCUUAGCAGCACUGGACCACAUGACUGGACAGUAAUCAAGAUAAGAACAAACUAGAACCUGCAGAACUUGCUUUGUGGAGUUUGGUGUCAAAAAAUAUAUAUAUAUUUUUUUUACUGAUGAUUUUUGAGAGCGGUUGUAACCAAGGUUUCCAGAAGGGGAAGAAGUGGUGAAAUAAAGAAUUGAAGUACACAACAUGACCAAAGAUACGUGGACACCUGCUUGUCGAUCAUCUCAUUCCAAAAUCAUGGGCGUUAAUAUGGAGUUGGUCCCCCCCCGCUUGACAAAUCAAAUGACAAAACACUCAGCCCUCCAAGACUCAGGUCAGUCAAGAUGUUCCAUGACAUACUUUAGAAGAGAAGUAGGACACACCUCCGGUAAAUAAACUUACAUGGACUCUUGCACCCAGCAGGCCUUCAUGAGAAAUUACAUUUAGGUUAAUGACAUCACAAUGACAGGGAAUGACAUCAUAAUGACAGGGAAUGACAUCAUAAUGACAGGUAAUGACAUCAUAAUGACAGGUAAUGACAUCAUAAUGACAGGGAAUGACAUCAUAAUGACAGGGAAUGACAUCACAAUGACAGGGAAUGACAUCACAAUGACAGGUUGGCAUAUUGUAUUGUGUGUCUAUUUACCGGAGCGUUGUUCUAUUUCUGUUCUUUGGAUUUUAUACAGGAGGAGCCGGCAGCUGAUUUAACUUUG
ensembl:lncRNA